AGCGAACGCUGGCGGCAGGCCUAACACAUGCAAGUCGAACGAACACUUCGGAGUUAGUGGCGGACGGGUGAGUAACACGUGGGAACGUGCCUUUUGGUUCGGAAUAACUCAGGGAAACUUGUGCUAAUACCGAAUGUGCCCUUCGGGGGAAAGAUUUAUCGCCAUUAGAGCGGCCCGCGUCUGAUUAGCUAGUUGGUGAGGUAACGGCUCACCAAGGCGACGAUCAGUAGCUGGUCUGAGAGGAUGACCAGCCACACUGGGACUGAGACACGGCCCAGACUCCUACGGGAGGCAGCAGUGGGGAAUCUUGCGCAAUGGGCGAAAGCCUGACGCAGCCAUGCCGCGUGAAUGAUGAAGGUCUUAGGAUUGUAAAAUUCUUUCACCGGGGACGAUAAUGACGGUACCCGGAGAAGAAGCCCCGGCUAACUUCGUG
rnacentral:rRNA from 1 species